rnacentral:rRNA from 1 species
UACAGAGGUCUCAAGCGUUGUUCGGAUUCAUUGGGCGUAAAGGGUGCGUAGGCGGCGCGGUAAGUCGGGUGUGAAAUCUCGGAGCUUAACUCCGAAACUGCAUUCGAUACUGCCGUGCUUGAGGACCGGAGAGGAGACUGGAAUUUACGGUGUAGCGGUGAAAUGCGUAGAUAUCAGGAGGAACACCAAUAGCGAAGGCAGCUCGCUGGGACGGUACUGACGCUAAGGCGCGAAAGCGUGGGGAGCGAACAGG